UAAACAACUCUCGGGAACGAAUAUCUCGACUCUCGCAUCGAUGAAGAACAUAGCGAAAUGCGAUACUUCGUGUGAAUUGCAGAAUCUUGUGAACCAUCGAGUCUUUGAACGCAAGUUACGCCAAAAACCAUUAGGCCGAGGGCACGUCUGCCUGUGGGUCACAC
rnacentral:rRNA from 1 species